GCCCCAAGCUCCCCGCCCCCGCCCAGCAGUGGGCUCAGCAUAGAAAGGGAAAGGAACAGAGAGAAGCAGAAUGUCACCACCAUCCACCUUGCCACGGCCAAUGUUGUGGUGGAUGUGGAUGCAGCCUAGGCCCGCCUCACUGUGGGGGUAACAGACAGGAGGAAUGACAAGGAGACACAAGCUACAAGCUGCCUGGCCAGGACAGGGCCCACCGCCAGGCAGCCUGUCGUCAAAGGGGUGCCUUCCUGUGUGCCACCGCUGGGUUCUGACCCAGAGGUCCGCCUGUAGGGCCUGCAGAGGGCAAAAGGAGACGCUGAGCCACACCUUGAGUAUGGAAGGGGCCCACUCCAAAGGGCCAAAGGGCCAAAGGGCCAAAGGGCCAAAGGGCCAAAGGGCCAAAGGGCCUGGGCGUAUGCACGCAGGGCAAAGAGAGGGUAGGAGGGCACCCAGGGAAAACACCACUAGGUUCACAAAAAGGGGAUGUAGGGGACAAGGGACGUGAGGGAUGCCUUACUCUCCCAGGGUAAUAAAGGGAUGGUUGUAAGGGGAUGUCCCUUGCUCCCCCAAUCCACGCGGCCAUUUUCACUUCCACAGGACAAGUACAGUUUUUAUUCUGGGGACAUCCACAGAGCAAGAAGUGCCAGAAGAGGAGUGAGAGUAAGGAGACCAAAGUGGAGAGAGCAAACUGCAAGCACAGAAAGAACUGUAGCGGAAGAGAAGAAUGAAUGUGAUCUCAAAAGGCACUGCGCCCCAACUGGACAGGUGGAACCAGCAGGGGCCUCUUAGGGGAAGAGUCAUCAGCCAAGGCAAAGUCUCAGCCACUCAGGGCAGGGGUUGAGCCCUGUCCAGAGAGAGGCCUGUUUUGCUAUGCUCUUGGACCCAACUGGGAAGUGGGAGGCCAAACGGAAAGGGGUAAGGAGGAAGGAAAAGGAACAAGGAAGGGCGUCAGUCGGGCCCACUGAGCCUCCUCGCACAGAGUGUCCCUCUGUGCGAGUGUGGGUGCCUGCCCAGGAGGGUCUACCCGAAUAAAGCCGUGCAUGCAUGCGUGUGUGUGCGUGCGUGUGUGUGCCUGUGUGUGUUGGGACGUAGCUGGUGGCCCUCGGAGCCUUGGGACACUGGGCAAGACCCCGUUCCACAGGAUGGGUCAACAGGUUCUGGACCCCUGUGGGACCUGGCCGCCUCUGGCCCAAUCUUUGGCCCAGUAAAGCAGGAGGCUUCAGGAGAAGGGAGUUUGCUGCUGCCAAGGAGCAGGCGCAGUGCAGAUAAACACGAGGCCAGGGCGGGUCUGAAGAUUCAAAGAAAACAAUCUGCAAGCCCACUGCUGGCAUCCCUUGAGGGUCCCCUGUGUUCACGGUGAACCAAUAGGAUGAGCAGAGUCAAGAAAAGCCUAGCGAAAAACCAGAACACCAGACACAACAGGUGUUGGCGACGAUGUGGAGGAAAUGGAACGCUCACUCCUGCACUGCACUGUCAGUGGGAAUGCAAAUUGGUACAGCCACUGUGGAAAACAGUAUGGAGGUUCCUCAAAAAGGUAAAACCAGACCUACCCUAGGAUCCAGCAAUCGCACUACUGGGUAUUUACCCAAAGAAUACAAGAAACGCUAAGUCAAAGGGAUACGUGCACCCCACCCCUAUGUUUCUAGCAGCAUUAUUUACAAUAGCCAAGAUACGGAAGCAGCCCUAGUGUCCCAUCCACUGAUGGAUGGAUAAAGAACGUGGGUGUACACACACACCACACACACACACACACACACACACACACUAUGGAGUAUACACUACUCAGCCAUAAAAACAGAAUGAAAUCUUGCCAUCUGUAAGGGCAUGGAUGGAGCUGCAGAGUAUAAUGCUAAGCGAAAUAAGUCAGUCAGAGAAAGACCAGUACCAUGUGAUUUCACUCCUCUGUAAUAUAGGGAAACAAAACAAAAUGAAAGAGUAUGGAGGCAGAGAGAGAGAGAGAGAGAGAGAGAGAGAGAGAAAGGGAGAGAGAGAGACAGGGAGAGAGUGGGAGACAGAGACAGAGAGAUACAGAAAUCAAGAAACAGACUCUUCAUUAUAGAGAAAUGAUGGUUACCAGAGGGGAGGGGGUGGAGGGGUUGGAUGACAUAGGUGAUAAGGAUUAAGGGAGUGCACGUGCCCUGAUGAGCACAGGGUGAUGUAUGGAAAUGCUGAAUCACUAUAUUGUACACCUGAAACCAAUGUACCACUGCAUGUUAACUAACUGGAAUUAAAACAAGAAUACUUAAAGAAAAAGAACAAAAAAAGCCUAGCUACCUUUGCAGGUUUGCCCCCAAAGUGGUCAAGUUGGCCUGGAGAUCAGCCAGAGGUGAUAUGGGUGAUCCUUGGCCUGAAGGAGCAGCAGGAGGGACCAGGGGCUAGGGAGGAGGAGGAGGACCCGGAGGCUGAGGAGGAGGAGGAGGAGGAGGAGGAGGAGGAGCAGGAAGAGGAGGAAUAGGAGGACUAGGAGGAGGAGGAGGAGGAGGAGGAGGAAGAGGAAGACAAGAGCAGGAGGAACAGGAGGAGGAUGGAAGGGGAUGAUGAAUGAUUUUUGUUGUUGUUGUUCCCUUCCCUGUGUUUGACAGCAAAUGCAGGGAGAGGAAGGUUGAGUGGGGGCAGGGAAAGGGGGUGAGUGCCAUAUCUGGAGCCACAGUGCCAUCCAGCGGAAACCGUCUCUGAAAAGCCCAGGCAGCAGCAACCUGCCUUCUGGCAGCCACAGGGGUCAGCAAGGAUGUGCUGCUGGGUUGUCUGGGCUCUGCCCAAGCCAGGUUUUCCACAUGAGGGGUCAGAGGCCUAGAGGGAAGUGUGACUGCCACUGGGACCCAGCGGGGAUGCAGGAACUCUAAGGGCCCUGGGGACACAGCAGGCGGCCCCAAGACCAAGCAGCCCAGGGGGCGGAGCUUCCCUGUCAGCCAUUUUGGGAUGGGUCCAGGAGAAGCUACUCACCCCCUGAAUGCAGGGACCUGGGGGCGUUUCCUCUGGUGUCCUUUGUGCUGAGUAGGUGGGUGCCACGCUGGGGCACUCAGGCAUCAGGAGGCCCCUUUCCACACUGGGAGCGGGGGCCUUUGGAGAUUCUGGGGCCGGGACUCUGGUGCUUGGCAGUCCUAGGCAACUCCAGGGCUCAGCCAUCUCAGGCUGUCCCUGGGGUUUCUGAGUGCCUUCCUCAGCCCUGGAGCCGGGGUGGAAUCUCGGAUCCAGCACACAGGUGAAGGGAAGGCCAGGAGCUAGGGAUCCAAUGCAGUUUCAGGACAAACCACACACACACACACACACACACACACACACACACACACACCCUGCCCCCCCCCCUCCAUUCUGCAGGAACCUACCCCGCACCAGCCCCCACUGCUUCCUGCAACUGACACAUAUACACAAGGUCAUCUCCUUCCCACUCCUGAGCUUUUCCCCAGCACUUGAGCCCAUGCAGCUCCCUUGGACAGAAACAUUUUCCACUUGAUGGCAGUAUGGCUCCACGAAUGAAUGCCAACAGAAUGCCUACCCUGCCCCCUUCCCCUUCAAACCACCACCUCAGGUCUGGGUCCUCAUCCUACUCAGGUAAGGGCAAACAAACAAAAUGAACAACGACAACAACGACAACAAUGACAACAACGACAACGACAACGACGACAACGACGACGACGACGAGAAAAAACCCUACAACAACAACAACAAGAAAAACCCCCUAACAAAGAAAAUGGAAAACAAAGAAGCAAAAACCAAAACCCCCUUGAAACACACAACAGGAAAACCCACACCACACUCAGACUACAAAGCAUCAAACCCAGAAAACCACAGGGCAAAAUAUACCCUACAACAUGGAAUGAAGAACAAGAGAAAUAGAAACAAACCAGCUAACAAGGUCCAAGCUGAGCACCCAAUACACAGGGCCAAAUGACCACUGACCACGAGGCUGCACACUAUGAUGGCCUUUUCCCUUCCUCUCAUGCUACCCCAUUUUUCCUGACUCAAGCUCUUGGGAGAAGCAAAAAGAAAUGGACAUACAAACCUACAUUCUUCACAUUGGGUGGGACUCUAGUUUUUUUUUUUUUUCCGACUCCUUAUCAUUCUCAAUGGAUCUACAUCUCUGUUUCUCAUUCCAGCAUCAUACAAUUUGAUUACAAUUACUUUUUGUUUAUAUUGUAAUCUCGGUUUUGAUAACUUACAGAUUUUUUUCUUCAUCAAGAUUGUUUUGGGUGUUCAAUGUCUUUGUUGCUCCACAUAAAAUACAGUAUCAUUUGCUGCAGUUUUGUAAAAAAGACCACUGUUACAUUUUUCAUUGAAUCGCUAGUGUUCUUUUAAUAAUAUAAAAUUUUUAACAAUUUAAUCUCCUAAUCUAUGAACAUAGUAUGUCUUUCCAUUUAAUUUAAUUUUUAAAUCAAUAUCUUACAUUUUUUAUAGUAUAGAUUUUUGUCUCUGUGGUUAAAUAUAUUCCUAGGUAAUUUGAUUCUUUUUAGUCCAACUGUAAUUGGGAUUGUUUUCUUCAUCUGUCUUUCUGCUUGUUCAUUGUUAGUGUAUAAAAACAACUGAUUUCCAUAUAUUAACAUUAUAGUUACCAAAUUUACUGAACUUAUUGGUUUUAAUACUUUUUUGGUGAAGUUUUUAGGGUUUUCUUUUUAAAAAUAAUAUUCAUUAAAUGCGGUCCCCCGGGUGGCUCAAUUGGUUAAAGGUGUGACUUUAGGUCAGGUCAUGAUUUCACAUUUCAUGGGUUCAAGUCCUAUGUCAGGCUCUGUGCUCUGUGCUGACCACUUGGAGCCAGGAGCCUGCUUCAGAUUCUGCGUCUCCCUCUCUCUCUUUGCCCCUCCCCUGCUUGUGUUCUCUCUGUCUCAAAAAUAAAUAUCUAAACAUAUUUUUAAUAUUUAUUCAACUUGAGCAAGAAAGUAAGUGUGAGUGGGGGAGGGGCAGAGAGGGAAAGGGGAAUCCUAUGCAGCCUCCUUGCUCACCAUGGCACCUUAUGUGGGGCUCCAUAUCAUGACAGUGAGAGAUCAUGACCUGAGCUGAAAUCAAGAGUCAGACACUUAACAGAUGCCCCUUUAGGGUUUUCUUUACGUAUUAUCAAGUCAUCUCCAAAAAUGACAGUUUGAUUUCUUACUUACAAAUUUGUAUGCCUAUCUUGUUUUGCCACUUCAUUUAUUAUUAUUUUUAAAUGAUAAGUGUGUUUAAUACGCAUCACCUAUUUCACUCACCCUCCCACUCACCUCUAGUAGCCGUCCGUUUGUGUUCCAUAAUUAAGAGUUUGUUUCUUGGUUUACCUUUCUUUUUCC
ensembl:lncRNA